UGGAUCCAGACUUUGAUUAUGGCUCAGGACGAACGCUGGCGGCGUGCCUAAUACAUGCAAGUCGAACGAAGCUUUCUUUCACCGAAUGCUUGCAUUCACCGAAAGAAAACUUAGUGGCGAACGGGUGAGUAACACGUAGGCAACCUGCCCAAAAGAGGGGGAUAACACCUGGAAACAGGUGCUAAUACCGCAUAACCAUGAACACCGCAUGAUGUUCAUGUAAAAGACGGCUUUUGCUGUCACUUUUGGAUGGGCCUGCGGCGUAUUAACUUGUUGGUGGGGUAACGGCCUACCAAGGUGAUGAUACGUAGCCGAACUGAGAGGUUGAUCGGCCACAUUGGGACUGAGACACGGCCCAAACUCCUACGGGAGGCAGCAGUAGGGAAUCUUCCACAAUGGACGAAAGUCUGAUGGAGCAACGCCGCGUGAAUGAAGAAGGCCUUCGGGUCGUAAAAUUCUGUUGUCAGAGAAGAACGUGCGUGAGAGUAACUGUUCACGUAUUGACGGUAUCUGACCAGAAAGCCACGGCUAACUACGUGCCAGCAGCCGCGGUAAUACGUAGGUGGCAGGCGUUGUCCGGAUUUAUUGGGCGUAAAGGGAACGCAGGCGGUCUUUUAAGUCUGAUGUGAAAGCCUUCGGCUUAACCGAAGUAGUGCAUUGGAAACUGGAAGACUUGAGUGCAGAAGAGGAGAGUGGAACUCCAUGUGUAGCGGUGAAAUGCGUAGAUAUAUGGAAGAACACCAGUGGCGAAAGCGGCUCUCUGGUCUGUAACUGACGCUGAGGUUCGAAAGCGUGGGUAGCAAACAGGAUUAGAUACCCUGGUAGUCCACGCCGUAAACGAUGAGUGCUAAGUGUCGGAGGGUUUCCGCCCUUCAGUGCUGCAGCUAACGCAUUAAGCACUCCGCCUGGGGAGUACGGUCGCAAGACUGCAACUCAAAGGAAUUGACGGA
rnacentral:rRNA from 1 species